UACGGGGGGGGGCAAGCGUUGUUCGGAAUUACUGGGCGUAAAGGGCUCGUAGGUGGCCAACUAAGUCAGACGUGAAAUCCCUCGGCUUAACCGGGGAACUGCAUCUGAUACUGGAUGGCUUGAGUUUGGGAGAGGGACGCGGAAUUCCAGGUGUAGCGGUGAAAUGCGUAGAUAUCUGGAGGAACACCGGUGGCGAAGGCGGCGUCCUGGACCAACACUGACACUGAGGAGCGAAAAGCCAGGGGGAGCAAACGGG
rnacentral:rRNA from 1 species